AUAAAGCAGGCUUUCACUGUUAAAAUGGUAUGGUGGGUAGUACUGUCACUUAUUAUUUUCGUUAUCCCCCCUUUCAUUGUUUAGGUGAGGCGCAUAUUUUUCCUCUAAGGAGAGGCAACCGGUUGUAAUACAAUACAAUCAACAUCAUUUUUACAGUUUUCCAUUUCAGAAAGAAUGAGGGUGAAAAUGCAAGAGUGGCCGCGCGGCUUCUCAUAGAAAUCUCAGAAAUCGAGUCAGUCGCUAGCAAUCGGCUAUGUUCUGAUAUACAAAUUAAAGUUGCAGAAACAGAACAGAAACGACGCCAAACAUCCCUAACGCCAGAGGAAAGACAGACAAGAAAGGCAAAGCUGUUCAUAAAACCUUAAUGAGCUUGGACGAAACAGAUGAUGAUGGGGUCAUUCAAUA